UAGGGAAUCUUCGGCAAUGGACGGAAGUCUGACCGAGCAACGCCGCGUGAGUGAAGAAGGUUUUCGGAUCGUAAAGCUCUGUUGUUAGAGAAGAACGUUGGUAGGAGUGGAAAAUCUACCAAGUGACGGUAACUAACCAGAAAGGGACGGCUAACCACGUGCCAGCAGCCGCGGUAAUACGUAGGUCCCGAGCGUUGUCCGGAUUUAUUGGGCGUAAAGCGAGCGCAGGCGGUUCUUUAAGUCUGAAGUUAAAGGCAGUGGCUUAACCAUUGUACGCAUUGGAAACUGGAGGACUUGAGUGCAGAAGGGGAGAGUGGAAUUCCAUGUGUAGCGGUGAAAUGCGUAGAUAUAUGGAGGAACACCGGUGGCGAAAGCGGCUCUCUGGUCUGUAACUGACGCUGAGGCUCGAAAGCGUGGGGAGCAAACAGG
rnacentral:rRNA from 1 species